UUAGCGGCCUGCUAGGUGGCUCGCUGUCCCGCCCCGCUAUCGUUCCGUUUGUCUUCCCUCAAGGGCGCCCUUGGGGAGGUGCUGUAUCUGAGCAGGCUCCUCGCGCUUGUGCUGCUCCCCUUCCUCCUUCCCGCCCCCAUCUGAGUCUCCCGACGUCGGGUGUCCAAGUGGGCUGCUCCUCUCACGCGGGGUCCCCUGAGAACCCUCCACCCUCCGCUCCUAAAAGCCGAAUACACUGGCUGCUAGUCACCCCCGCUUGGCCCGCGGCUGAGCAGAGGUGAAAGUGUCUUAAUCUCCUGAGACAAGAUUGUAUAAGUGCCUAGUUGUGGUUCAUCUAUGAGUCCUGGUUGUACAACGCUCACCUCAAUAUCUUCUGUGAGUGGAUAUUCAGCCUUUAUGUGAUGAUGUUUAGUGAAGAGAAAUGCAAUGCCACCAGGGUCACCCCAUUCUACAUCUGGAUUGAGUUUUUUUGGUGUCCUUGAGCCAAAUGUUUCACUGCUUCAGGGGAAAUGCUAGCAGCUGAAUGGGAGUUAAGUCAGUGGGAUAUCUGUCCCUGUGAAAAAAGUUGGAAGGGUGAUCUUGGGAAGCUAAGCAAAAUCUCUACAACCAGGGCAAGUCCUUCCUCAUAUAAUUGCUGUUGUAAUACUUUAGUACCUCCUGCUGUUUUCAAUUUGAGAUUCCAUACUCUGAACAAUUAAGUAAGUAUUUGGCCUUGUCAUCUGCCUGUUUAUAGUUAUAUAUUCAUGUAUGGUAUAAGGUCCUUACAUUUUUCAAAAUGCUAUGGGAAUGAUUGGACAGUAGUGUAAG